rnacentral:rRNA from 1 species
GUGGGGAAUAUUGGACAAUGGGCGAAAGCCUGAUCCAGCCAUGCCGCGUGUGUGAAGAAGGUCUUCGGAUUGUAAAGCACUUUAAGUUGGGAGGAAGGGCAGUAAGUUAAUACCUUGCUGUUUUGACGUUACCGACAGAAUAAGCACCGGCUAACUUCGUGCCAGCAGCCGCGGUAAUACGAAGGGUGCAAGCGUUAAUCGGAAUUACUGGGCGUAAAGCGCGCGUAGGUGGUUUUGUAAGUUGGAGGUGAAAUCCCCGGGCUCAACCUGGGAACUGCCUCCAAAACUGCAUGACUAGAGUACGGUAGAGGGUAGUGGAAUUUCCUGUGUAGCGGUGAAAUGCGUAGAGAUCUGGAGGAAUACCGAUGGCGAAGGCAGCCAUCUGGCCUAAUACUGACACUGAGGUGCGAAAGCAUGGGGAGCAAACAGGAUUAGAUACCCUAGUAGUCC